AGCAUCGUGGACGACUAGAAAAGUCGCUGUGCCUCUCAAGCACGGAGAAGCGGGUGCAAUUCCCGUCGAUGCUUCCA
rnacentral:tRNA from 1 species